rnacentral:rRNA from 1 species
UACGUAGGGCGCAAGCGUUGUCCGGAAUUAUUGGGCGUAAAGAGCUCGUAGGCGGUUUGUCGCGUCUGCUGUGAAAACCUAAGGCUCAACCUUGGGCUUGCAGUGGGUACGGGCAGACUAGAGUGCGGUAGGGGUGACUGGAAUUCCUGGUGUAGCGGUGGAAUGCGCAGAUAUCAGGAGGAACACCGGUGGCGAAGGCGGUUCUCUGGGCG